AGCAGUUCUUGGAUGAUGCACCCCAGAAUCUGGGUCCCUCCUCUCUGGUUCCGGGUGUAUCACCUGAGAACCGCA
rfam:Myotis lucifugus cont2.41360, whole genome shotgun sequence.